rnacentral:rRNA from 1 species
GGACGAACGCUGGCGGCGUGCCUAACACAUGCAAGUCGAACGGAGUGUUGCGCUGAAAUUGAGAUUAGCUUGCUAAAGGAUAUUUCUUGUAACACUUAGUGGCGGACGGGUGAGUAACGCGUGAGGAACCUGCCUUACAGAGGGGGACAACAGUUGGAAACGGCUGCUAAUACCGCAUAAGCGCACAGGGUCGCAUGACCUGGUGUGAAAAACUCCGGUGGUAUGAGAUGGACCCGCGUUGGAUUAGCUGGUUGGUGAGGUAACGGCCCACCAAGGCGACGAUCAGUAGCCGGACUGAGAGGUUGACCGGCCACAUUGGGACUGAGAUACGGCCCAGACUCCUACGGGAGGCAGCAGUGGGGAAUAUUGGGCAAUGGGCGAAAGCCUGACCCAGCAACGCCGCGUGAAGGAAGAAGGUUUUCGGAUUGUAAACUUCUUUUAUCAGGGACGAAGAAAGUGACGGUACCUGAUGAAUAAGCCACGGCUAACUACGUG